ensembl:rRNA 5S_rRNA 5S ribosomal RNA
GCUUACGGCCACACCGCCUGGUUCACGCCCCGAUCUCGUUUGAUCUCGGAAGAUAAGAUAGGUUGGGCCUGGUUAGUACUUGGAUGGGAGACCGCCUGGGAAUACCAGGUGCUGUAAGCU